rnacentral:rRNA from 1 species
UACGAAGGGGGCUAGCGUUGCUCGGAAUUACUGGGCGUAAAGGGCGCGUAGGCGGACAGUUUAGUCAGGGGUGAAAUCCCGGGGCUCAACCUCGGAACUGCCUUUGAUACUGCAAGUCUCGAGUCCGAUAGAGGUGAGUGGAAUUCCUGGUGUAGCGGUGAAAUGCGCAGAUAUCAGGAAGAACACCCGUGGCGAAGGCGGCUCUCUGGGACGGUACUGACGCUGAGACGCGAAAGCGUGGGGAGCGAACAGG